AACGCACAUUGCGCCCUUUGGUAUUCCGAGGGGCAUGCCUGUUCGAGAGUCAUUAUGACCCUCAAGCUCUGCUUGGUAUUGGGUGUCACCUCUCUAGGUGCACCCUAAAAUCAGUGGCGGUGCUGCCUAGCUCUAAGCGUAGUAAAUUUCCUCGCUAUAGAUGCCCUGGUGGUGCCUGCCAUCAACCGUAACUUUUAAGGUUGACCUCGGAUCAGGUAGGGAUACCCGCUGAACUUAA
rnacentral:misc_RNA from 1 species